rnacentral:rRNA from 2 species
ACGGGAGGCAGCAGUGGGGAAUAUUGGGCAAUGGGGGGAACCCUGACCCAGCGACGCCGCGUGAGGGAAGAAGGUUUUCGGAUUGUAAACCUCUGUCCUCGGGGACGAAGAAGAUGACGGUACUCGGGGAGGAAGCCACGGCUAACUACGUGCCAGCAGCCGCGGUAAAACGUAGGUGGCAAGCGUUGUCCGGAAUUACUGGGUGUAAAGGGAGCGCAGGUGGAAAUGCGUGUCAAAUGUGAAAUGUGCGGGCUCAACCCGUAAAUUGCGUUUGAAACUGUAUAUCUUGAGUGAAGUAGAGGCAGGCGGAAUUCCCGGUGUAGCGGUGGAAUGCGUAGAUAUCGGGAGGAACACUAGUGGCGAAGGCGGCCUGCUGGGCUUUAACUGACACUGAGGCUCGAAAGCGUGGGUAGCAAACAGGAUUAGAUACCCUGGUA